rnacentral:rRNA from 1 species
AGAGUUUGAUCCUGGCUCAGAACGAACGCUGGCGGCGUGCUUAACACAUGCAAGUCGAGUGCGCGUCUGUAGCAAUACAGAUGGCGCACGGCGCACGGGUGCGUAACACGUGGGUAAUCUGCCCUCUGAUGGGGAAUAACUCGCCGAAAGGCGAGCUAAUUCCGCAUAAUAUUCCGAGAACUUAGGUUUUUGGACUGAAAGGCGUAAGUCGUCGGGGGAGGAGCCCGCGCACGAUUAGCUAGUUGGUAGGGUAAUGGCCUACCAAGGCUUUGAUCGUUAGCUGGUCUGAGAGGAUGGCCAGCCACACUGGAACUGAGACACGGUCCAGACUCCUACGGGAGGCAGCAGUGGGGAAUCUUGCACAAUGGGCGAAAGCCUGAUGCAGCGACGCCGCGUGGGGGAUGAAGCUUUUCGGAGUGUAAACCCCUUUCGAUCCGGACGAAUGCCUCGCAAGAGGAGUGACGGUACGGAUAUAAGAAGCCCCGGCUAACUACGUGCCAGCAGCCGCGGUAAU